rnacentral:rRNA from 1 species
UGCAAGUCUGGUGCCAGCAGCCGCGGUAAUUCCAGCUCCAAUAGCGUAUAUUAAAGUUGUUGAGGUUAAAAAGCUCGUAGUUGAACCUUGGGCCUAGCCGGCCGGUCCGCCUCACCGCGUGCACUGGCUCGGCUGGGUCUUUCCUUCUGGAGAACCGCAUGCCCUUCACUGGGUGUGCCGGGGAACCAGGACUUUUACUCUGAACAAAUUAGAUCGCUUAAAGAAGGCCUAUGCUCGAAUACAUUAGCAUGGAAUAAUAGAAUAGGACGUGUGGUUCUAUUUUGUUGGUUUCUAGGACCGCCGUAAUGAUUAAUAGGGACAGUCGGGGGCAUCAGUAUUCAAUUGUCAGAGGUGAAAUUCUUGGAUUUAUUGAAGACUAACUACUGCGAAAGCAUUUGCCAAGGAUGUUUUCAUUAAUCAGGAACGAAAGUUAGGGGAUCGAAGACGAUCAGAUACCGUCGUAGUCUUAACCAUAAACUAUGCCGAUUAGGGAUCGGACGGCGUUAUUUUUUGACCCGUUCGGCACCUUACGAUAAAUCAAAAUGUUUGGGCUCCUGGGGAGUAUGGUCGCAAGGCUGAAACUUAAAGGA